UCUCACACACAGGGGAGCGCCACCGGGCGCUGAGAGUGCGGAACAAGACCGCAGACCCUCAAACCUGAUCCGGUUAGCACCGGCGUAGGGAGUGAGUCUCCUCGGCUU
rnacentral:ncRNA from 2 species